UUAACCUAAUCAGGUCAAAUCCAACUGAAUCCAAUUCAAUUGGACUUGAUCCAAAAAUAAUUACUCAAUCAAAUUGAGUUAAUUAGUGAUCAAAUCACUAAUUAAACUUCUCAUAAAUAUUGAGUCCAAAUCUGAUGGGCAAUCGGGCAUCAGAGUCCAUCGAUAUGAAACCCUGAUCAAAAAGUCCCAAGCCAGUGGGUCUCUUGACCCCGGUACCCAAAAUGUGUGCAACUCAUGAUUGGAAAAUCCUGAUUCUCGAUCACAAUGUUCUAGACACGUAGGACUCAAAGUUCACGAGCAUUAAGACUCUUCAUCAGCCAUCAGAUC
rnacentral:lncRNA from 1 species